rnacentral:rRNA from 1 species
GAUAAACGCUGGCGGCGUGCCUAACACAUGCAAGUCGAACGCCCUUUUGCGCAAGUGAGAGGGAGUGGCGGACGGGUGAGUACCACGUGGGUAUCUCCCUUGAGGUGAGGAAUACCACCGAGAAAUCGGUGACAAUACCGCAUACGCUCGGGCAACCGAGCAAAGUCAUGCAAAUGACGCCACAAGAUGAGCCUGCGCCUGAUUAGCUGGUUGGUGAGGAACAGCUCACCAAGGCAACGAUCAGUAGCUGGUCUGAGAGGAUGAUCAGCCACACUGGGAUUGAGAACGGCCCAGACUCCUACGGGGGG